GUACUCUGAUGGCUUUGGCAGUACAUAUACUAAUAUUGGAAUAAUAUAGGGAACAUUAGCAUUGUCCCUGUGCAAGGAUGAAAGGCAAACUCAUGAAUCACCCCUUAUUUUU